rnacentral:rRNA from 1 species
GACGAACGCUGGCGGCGUGCUUAACACAUGCAAGUCGAACGAAGUGGCGAACGGGUGAGUAAUACGUGGGUAACCUGCCCUCCUUUUUGGGAUAAGCCUUGGAAACGGGGUCUAAUACCGAAUACAGGGGGAUGGGCUCGCGGCCUAUCAGCUUGUUGGUGGGGUGAUGGCCUACCAAGGCGGUGACGGGUAGCCGGCCUGAGAGGGGGACGUGCAACAUUGGGACGGAGAGACGGCCAAGAGUCCUACGGGAGGAAGAAGUGGGGGAUAUGGCACAAUGGGCGAAAGCCUGAUGCAGCGACGCCGAGUGGGGGAUGAAGUCUUUCGGGUUGUAAAACUCUUUCGCGAUCGAAAGGGUAGGUGGAGAAGAAGCGCCGGCUAACUACGUGCCAGCAGCCGCGGUAAUUC